rnacentral:rRNA from 1 species
UACGGAGGGUGCAAGCGUUUAUCCGGAUUUACUGGGUUUAAAGGGUGCGUAGGUGGGUUGGUAAGUCAGUGGUGAAAUACUUUCGCUUAACGAAGGAACUGCCAUUGAUACUACCAGUCUUGAAUACAGUGGAGGUAGGCGGAAUGCGUCAUGUAGCGGUGAAAUGCUUAGAUAUGACGCAGAACACCAAUUGCGAAGGCAGCUUGCUACACUGUUAUUGACACUGAGGCACGAAAGCGUGGGGAUCAAACAGG